AAGUCGUAACAAGGUUUCCGUAGGUGAGUAACCUCUAGCUCGUUUUGUGUUUUUGUGAAUUUUUGCUAAUUUUCAAUUUAGGUGAACCUGCGGAAGGAUCAUUACCGAGUACUCCUGCUUGCAGGAACUCCCACCCGUGAUCAAUUCCACCGUUGCUUCGGCAAGACGUUGGAAACGGCCACGCCAUUGAAAUUAAUACCAAUGACAUUGGUGAGCUUAGCGGAGUCUUCAUAUGCCUUAAAACUAGUUAUUUAGUCAGAGAAAACAAGCAAUAAAUA
rnacentral:misc_RNA from 1 species